rnacentral:rRNA from 1 species
AGGACGAACGCUGGCGGCGUGCUUAACACAUGCAAGUCGAGCGGAAAGGCCCUUCGGGGUACUCGAGCGGCGAACGGGUGAGUAACACGUGAGCAACCUGCCCUUAGCUCUGGGAUAGCUCCGGGAAACCGGAAUUAAUACCGGAUACGACCUAGGCCGACAUCGGCCGUGGUGGAAAGUUUUUCGGCUAGGGAUGGACUCGCGGCCUAUCAGCUAGUUGGUGGGGUAAAGGCCUACCAAGGCGACGACGGGUAGCCGGCCUGAGAGGGCGACCGGGCCACACUGGGACUGAGACACGGCCCAGACUCCUACGGGAGGCAGCAGUGGGGAAUCUUGCGCAAUGGGCGAAAGCCUGACGCAGCGACGCCGCGUGGGGGAUGAAGGCCUUCGGGUUGUAAACCCCUUUCAGCAGGGACGAAGCGAAGUGACGGUACUGCAGAAGAAGCGCCGGCUAACUACGUGCCAGCAGCCGC